rnacentral:tRNA from 1 species
GGGGCUGUGGCUCAGUGGUAGAGCGCUUGCCUAGCAUGUAUGAGGCACUGGGUUUGAUCCUCAGCACCACA